UAGGAUCUGGAAUCAAGGAUUAGGCUGAAGUACCAACACUGGUUUUUGUUGCUAACUCCCUGAAUUUAUAGGAAACGUGGUUGAGUUUACUAAACUCAACAUUUUGUUGAGUUUACUAAACUUUUAAGGAACUUGGGUUUCCAGAGAAACUUCAACACCCAUAAACUCAAGGCUGUGAUUGCUCAACUCCCAAGGCAGUACUCAGCCAGGAUCCUAAACCCACACUAACAGAAAUAGCACCAGGAGAAGGCUAUGAAGACCAGGAAGUAAACACUCCCCAGUGCCUUUCUCAGCGAUGGCCAAUAGAGGACAAAUGACUAGCAAAAUCCUCUUAGAGGACACAUCCUGGAGUAGACAAAAGGUUCUCAAGAAAUUCACUCCAAAACCAGAACAAGAGAUCUCUCUACUCCUGUCCUGCAAACAGUCCGUUGUCUGCUCCCUGAUUUUCCCAAAGGAACUACUCUUAACUUUCAUUACAUGUGAAUAGGUGAAUCUGAUUUCACUUUGAGCUUCAGACAUGGCCAACCAAAACAUUGUAAACCUCUGACUUCAGUGAUCGAUUCUGGACAUCUGAACCAUAUGUUGAUAUCUAGGCCAGUUAAAUCAAAAGAAACAAAACAGUUCUGGAGCUGGAGCCAGUGUUGACUAUGAGCCAUGAAGAUGAGGCCAACACUCUAGAGGAGGCAGAACAACAAGGUAGAAGUAACCUGGAUCCCUAAGUGACAACCUGGAUUGGAGCCACCUUCCUCCCUGGGACAACC